rnacentral:rRNA from 1 species
CAGUAGCCACGGUAAUACGGAGGGCGCGAGCGUUACCCGGAUUUACUGGGCGUAAAGGGCGUGUAGGCGGCCUGGGGCGUCCCAUGUGAAAGGCCACGGCUCAACCGUGGAGGAGCGUGGGAUACGCUCAGGCUAGAGGGUGGGAGAGGGUGGUGGAAUUCCCGGAGUAGCGGUGAAAUGCGCAGAUACCGGGAGGAACGCCGAUGGCGAAGGCAGCCACCUGGUCCACUUCUGACGCUGAGGCGCGAAAGCGAGGGGAGCAAACCGGAUUAGAUACCCCCGUAGUCCCUGUCUCUUAUAC